rnacentral:rRNA from 1 species
CAUUCAGUUGGGCACUCUAAGGUGACUGCCGGUGACAAACCGGAGGAAGGUGGGGAUGACGUCAAAUCAUCAUGCCCCUUAUGACCUGGGCUACACACGUGCUACAAUGGACGGUACAAAGAGCUGCAAGACCGCGAGGUGGAGCUAAUCUCAUAAAACCGUUCUCAGUUCGGAUUGUAGGCUGCAACUCGCCUACAUGAAGCUGGAAUCGCUAGUAAUCGCGGAUCAGCAUGCCGCGGUGAAUACGUUCCCGGGCCUUGUACACACCGCCCGUCACACCACGAGAGUUUGUAACACCCGAAGUCGGUGGGGUAACCUUUUGGAGCCAGCCGCCUAAGGUGGGACAGAUGAUUGGGGUGAAGUCGUAACAAGGUAGCCGUAUCGGAAGGUGCGGCUGGAUCACCUCCUUUC